rnacentral:rRNA from 1 species
UACGUAGGGUGCAAGCGUUGUCCGGAAUUAUUGGGCGUAAAGAGCUCGUAGGCGGUUUGUCGCGUCGAAUGUGAAAACCUGGGGCUCAACUCCAGGCUUGCGGGCGAUACGGGCAGGCUAGAGUUCGGUAGGGGAGACUGGAAUUCCUGGUGUAGCGGUGAAAUGCGCAGAUAUCAGGAGGAACACCGGUGGCGAAGGCGGGUCUCUGGGCCGAUACUGACGCUGAGGAGCGAAAGCGUGGGGAGCGAACAGG